GACCUUGUGGUGAAGUUCAUGUUGAGUUGCAAGCUCAUUGAUGUGUGUUGAUGCACACCAAGGUCU
rnacentral:tRNA from 1 species